GGUAGUGUAUUGGACAACCAUGGCUCUCACGGGUAACGGGGAAUUAGGGUUCGAUUCCGGAGAAGGAGCCUGAGAAACGGCUACUACAUCUAAGGAAGGCAGCAGGCGCGUAAAUUACCCAAUCCUGACUCAGGGAGGUAGUGACAAGAUAUAACGACGCGACUAAAAAUCGCGAUUGUAGUGAAGGUAUUCCAAACCGAACCAUUAGUACGAUUGGAGGGCAAGUCUGGUGCCAGCAGCCGCGGUAAUUCCAGCUCCAAUAGCGUAUAUUAAAGUUGUUGCAGUUAAAAAGCUCGUAGUUGGAUUUCAAGGGAAGCAACGUGGACACACGUCUGCCCCCUACCAGUCUUUGACUGUUACUGUGAGAAAAUUAGAGUGUUUCAAGCAGGCUGUUGCAGGAAUACAUUAGCAUGGAAUAACGAAUGGGUCUAGAAUCUUGGUUAAUUCUAGAUUACGAUUAAUAGGGACAGUUGGGGGCAUUAGUAUUUAAUUGUCAGAGGUGAAAUUCUUGGAUUUAUUAAAGACUAACGUAUGCGAAAGCAUUUGCCAAGGAUGUUUUCA
rnacentral:rRNA from 1 species